AGCGAACGCUAGCGGCGGGCCUAACACAUGCAAGUCGAGCGCAUGCCUUCGGGUAUGAGCGGCGGACGGGUGAGUAACACGUAGGUAAUCUGCCCUGUGGUGGGGGAUAACCCGGGGAAACCCGGGCUAAUACCGCAUAUGGUCUACGGAUCAAAGCCUUCGGGCGCCAGAGGAUGAGCCUGCGUCGCAUUACCUAGUUGGCGGGGUAAAAGCCCACCAAGGGGACGAUGCGUAGCUGGUCUGAGAGGAUGAUCAGCCACACUGGGACUGAGACACGGCCCAGACUCCUACGGGAGGCAG
rnacentral:rRNA from 1 species